GGAGUCGUGGGAAGCCAGGGAGGUGAGGACGACGUGGCGAAGUCGUGAGGACAAGAAAAUUCCACCGCUGUGGCAGCCAUGUCAGUGCAGGAGUACCUGGGGAAGCACCUGCUCUCGCGCAAGAGCGAGGAGGCCCUGAAUACGGCGGUCCGCGCCAAGGCCCCUGACCCGGCGCUUUUCAUCGUCGGCCACAUGAGGCGGGAGGCGCCCACCGUGAUCACGAGGGUGCGGGCGCGCCAGAUCCUUGACGGGCGUAGCGCACCGGCCGUUGAGGUCGAGUUGCACACCAACAAGGCCGUGCACCGAGCAUCUACGGCUAGCGUGGGCGCGCUCGAGGGCGCCGCCGCCGACGCGGCCGGGGCCUCCGAGAGGCGGAAGUUCCUCGCCAGGGGGGUCGCCUACGCGGUGCGGGUGAUCAACGACAAGGUGUCGGAGGCACUCGUUGGGAUGGAUCCGCAGCAGCAGGCGCAGAUCGACCAGGCCAUCAUGGACUUGACAAGGCGCGCCACAGGCUGAGCUUGGAGCAAAUACUAUGCUGGCAGUGUCAAUUGCAGCUUGCAAAGCUGGUGCUGCUGAAAAAGAGGUUCCACUCUACAAGCAUAUAGCGGAUCUUGUUGGCAAAAGCGCUACAACUCUUCCUGUCCCUGCAAAUACAGUCAUUAAUGGUGGAAAGCAUGCUGGAAAUGGUCUUCCCAUUCAAGAAAUUAUGAUUCUUCUUGUUGGUGCUAUGAACUUCGAAGAAGCAAUGCAGAUGGGUUCAGAGACCUAUCACCAUCUCAAGGAUAUUAUCUUGGAGAAAUGUGGCUCAGACAGCUGCAACAUUGGAGAUCAUGGUGGGUUUGCUCCAAAUAUUUCCAGCAUAUCUGAAGGCCUGGAUCUUGUUAUUGCGGCAAUAGAGAGGGCUGGGUAUAAUGGAAGAAUAAAAUUGACAAUUGAUGUUGCUGCUACUGAUUUUUGUGUAGGUUGCAUGGGAUGACUUGUUGAUGUCUGACCCUGAACGCAUUAAGCGGGCAGUUAGUGAGUACACUUGCAAUGCUCUUGUUCUCAAGGCAAAUCAAGUGGGCACUGUCACUGAGGCGAUAGAGGUUGUGAAGCAGGCAAAUGAUGCACAUUGGGGUGUGAUGGUGUCACAUAGGUCUGGAGAUACUGAGGAUUCUUUCAUUGCUGACCUGGCUGUUGGUGCUGCAGCCGGACAGAUCAAAGCCAGUGUCCCAUGCCGUGGAGUCUAACUAAAUACAAUCAGCUGCUUAGAAUAGAUCAAUAGAGGAAGAACUUGGAAGUGAAGGCGUCUAUGCAGGGGAGAAUUGAAAAUCUUGACCCGCCUUUGUUGACUUGGUGCAUACUCAGUUCAAAAGAGCUAAGGAACGAUCGGAUUCAUGUGACGAUAAUCUUUUUAAUGACCUGAUGUCUCUCUAUAAUUCAAGCAGCAGUGCUAGCGUUGACGCAAAUAUUCUUCGAUGGUUAUCUGAGAAGUUGCAGCUUGUCACAAUAUAUGACCUCAAUCAUGAAUCUUUGACCUUGCAUGAGAUGGCUAGUGGCGGUGAUCCUGGUGGCAUUGUUGAAAAGAUGUCAACGCUCCUAAAAGAGAUUAAGGAUUUUGUGCAGGCAGAAGACCCUGAGAUGGGUGGAAAAAGUUCUCCAAAAGGCAACUCAGCAUGUCCUGUUAUUCCUGAUGAUUUCUAUUGCCCAAUAUCACUGGAUUUAAUGAAAGACCCAGUUAUUGUUGCCACUGGACUUAUGAGCGAGGUAAAAGGGAUGCAACAACAGCACUGUUUAACUUGUGUAUUUACCAAGGCAACAAGGGGAAGACUGUUAGAGCUGGAUACUACCAGAACUGCUCAUGGAGACUGAAAGUGGGAUGGUAGAUGAGGCCCUUGCAAUAUUGACAAUCCUCUCAGGCCAUCCUGAGGGGAAGGCAGCAAUUGGCGCUGCUUCUGCAGUGCCUGUACUUGUUGGAGUUGUCAGAAAUGGAUCUCCAAGGAACAAGGAAAAUGCUGCUGCUGUUAUGGUCCAUCUAUGAAAUGGGGUGAGCAGCAGCAACAACAUCUUGCCGAAGCACAGGAGCAGGGCAUCGUGUCUUUGCUGGAGGAGCUAGCAGACGAAAGUGGCACAGAGAGAAGAAAGAGGAAAGCUGUGCAGCUGCUCGAACGAAUGAAUCAGUUCCUAAAGCAACAGAGUCAAGCCCAAGCCAAGGCCAUGGCACAGGCUCAUGCGCAAGCACAGGCACAAGAUCAUGCUCAAGCACAUGCACAAGCACAGGCACAAGCGCAGUCUCAGCUCCUUGGUUCAAGCUCAAGCACACGCAGAUAUGCAAGCUGAGGAAUCACUACUUCUCAUUUCAUCGGAUAUAUGCUGCUGCUAAAUGAACUGUUACUUACAAAAUAAUUUUGUUUCCAAUAUUGACUCAUUUACAUGUACUGCUAGUUGGAUUAGGUAAGCCAUGUUUUAUUUU